rnacentral:misc_RNA from 1 species
CCGAGUUUACAACUCCCAAACCCCUGUGAACAUACCUAUAUGUUGCCUCGGCGGAUCAGCCCGCGCCCCGUAAAACGGGACGGCCCGCCGCAGGAUCCACAAACUCUGUUUUUAUUGUAACUUCUGAGUAACAAACAAAUAAAUCA